ACGCUGGCGGCAGGCCUAACACAUGCAAGUCGAGCGGUAGAGAGAAGCUUGCUUCUCUUGAGAGCGGCGGACGGGUGAGUAAUGCCUAGGAAUCUGCCUGGUAGUGGGGGAUAACGUUCGGAAACGGACGCUAAUACCGCAUACGUCCUACGGGAGAAAGCAGGGGACCUUCGGGCCUUGCGCUAUCAGAUGAGCCUAGGUCGGAUUAGCUAGUUGGUGAGGUAAUGGCUCACCAAGGCGACGAUCCGUAACUGGUCUGAGAGGAUGAUCAGUCACACUGGAACUGAGACACGGUCCAGACUCCUACGGGAGGCAGCAGUGGGGAAUAUUGGACAAUGGGCGAAAGCCUGAUCCAGCCAUGCCGCGUGUGUGAAGAAGGUCUUCGGAUUGUAAAGCACUUUAAGUUGGGAGGAAGGGCAUUAACCUAAUACGUUAGUGUUUUGACGUUACCGACAGAAUAAGCACCGGCUGACUCUGUGCCAGCAGCCGCGGUAAUACAGAGGGUGCAAGCGUUAAUCGGAAUUACUGGGCGUAAAGCGCGCGUAGGUGGUUUGUUAAGUUGGAUGUGAAAUCCCCGGGCUCAACCUGGGAACUGCAUUCAAAACUGACUGACUAGAGUAUGGUAGAGGGUGGUGGAAUUUCCUGUGUAGCGGUGAAAUGCGUAGAUAUAGGAAGGAACACCAGUGGCGAAGGCGACCACCUGGACUAAUACUGACACUGGGGUGCGAAAGCGUGGGGAGCAAAC
rnacentral:rRNA from 1 species